CGGACAAAAUAAGAACUAACAACUUGCGCAUGCGCAGUGGGAAGCUGUCACGCACGCACACAUUCAUGUUUUUUUUUGUUUGUUUAUGUUUGGUAGCGGUAACGUAACCAUGAAAAUGUUUUUUCUUGUCAAAGCAUAAUGGAGUUUGGAUCAGCUUCGGAUGUAAUACUUAUUUGCUGCUAAUCUUAUGACGUGAUAUACAUUGUGCGCAGGUGCCUCACCCUGGGACCUCGCUGGCGGCUGGCGGCUGGUGGAUGGUGGAUGGUGGAUGGCCGGCGAGUGUGUCCGCACGGCCCCGUGGCCAGGGGUUUAGCCGAGGGGCGCACCUCGCCUUGACCCUCCAGGUCAGGGCUGCGCAGAUAGCUCCUUGCCCCCGCGCGCGGCGCAGCAGGCGGCCCCACGCCGCACCACCGUCACGCCACUGUCCGGCUGCCAAUGCACGCUGGCCGCUGACGUCACCCCCACCGCCGAGCGGUCCGGGGUCCAUCCCGCUGUUGGGAAACGUGGCGGUGGGAUUGCUCUUGGUUUCACCCGACUGCCCCAAUGCUCCAGCCUCGUGGUCGGUGGUGACCUCCAUGUGGACGACAUGUUAGGCAACAGCUCAUUGCUUCCCCGCGCCCGGCCAGACUCUGCCCCGCGCGCUCGAGGCCCGGCCAUCUGCGGCGCGGGCGCUCCCGGCUCGAGCCGCGUCACGGGCCGGUUGGAGCCAGCUGUGGCCUUCUAGUGCCGAGUGUAGCUAGUUGGAGCGAUUAGUGCCAGCUGUAGCCAGUUGGAACCAUUGGAGCCCAUUAGAGCCAACUGUAACCAAUUGGAGUCCGUUACAACCUACUGGAGUCAGCUGGAGCUAACUGUUACCAUUUAUGGCCAACCGUAGCUAGUUGAAGCCAUUGGAGCUAACUGUAGCCAGUUGGAGCCAACUGUAACCAGUUGGAGCCAACUGUAGUCAGUUAGAGUUACUUGGAGCCUUUUGGAGCCACUGAAACCAGUUUGAGCCAUUUGGAUCCAUGGAUAAAAGACUUUUGGUCCUACAGUAAGAAUUAAGUGUGUUGAGAAUUAUUACUGUGGGACUCACUGUGAGAACAUUAUUGGCCUAUCAUCUUUUGGAAAGUAUAAAUAUACGUAGCCUCCUAUUAAAAAUAAUAUUUAUACUAUGAAUGUAUGUGUAUAAGUAAUGCUCAGGAGGCUCAAAGGCAUGCGCACAUCCGUGGCUGCGACUUCAAUGGACGAAGCGGCAACAACUAGCAGUGUUCCAUCAUCAAACUAUCUGCACAUGGAAAUGCUAAAACCUUGCAUAUGCGUGGAUGUUUGACAAGUGAUUGCAUUAAAUCUGAAUGUGUUACAUACCAAUGCAGCAUGUGUCUUAGCGAGUUUAUCCACUUUGGAAACUUGAAAAGGCAUGUGAAGAUAAGCAAAGAACACAUUCAUAAGGACCUAAUUUUAAUUUUUGCGGCAAGGCCUUUACAUAGACGUUCAGUACCUCUUAAAUCCAUGAUAUAAGUGUAUUCUUGUUUAAAUAUAUUUUUAAAAUUUUUUUAUUACUAUUUUAUAACUUAACCUUUACCAGGUUUGAACAAAGGACUACGGACUCAAUGGUGUAAGGUCCUUUUUUUUAAAUAACUUAUUUACAAAUAUAUUUGAGUUUUUGGUAACAAGUAAUCAUGGAGUCAAAAUCCAGUGUCACAUUUAAGUUGUGACAGUCAAAAUUCAAGAUCCAAGCUCAACGGCUUGAGCGGAGUCUUAUGCCCCUUUGAAUUUUUUGGCGGAAAAAAUGGGAAAUUUUCUCUAAAAAUGGAACAUUUUCCCUCAAAAUAGAGAAAUUUUGUGCCUUUUUCAUCACUUUUGUGAAAAUCCAGGAAAAUCUUGACACCAAAAUUCAAUAUGGUGGCCGGUCACUGACCCACAACUUGCACCUCAGCCUGAAGUCUGUGCCGGAACAUAAUAAACCAUACUACCAAAACUAUUUAUUGUGAUAGUGUUUGUUUUUACUUGUUUUGUGUCGUACUUGUUCUGUGUCGUGCCCACCUCUAAAGUCCCAAGACUGUCGGUGGGCAUGUAACAAAUUUAAAUAAAAAAAUUAAUAAAUAACUAAA